rnacentral:lncRNA from 1 species
CUUAUUGUCGCAGACUUUUAACUUCUUCCAUAGGCAUAGGCAUAGUACUUCUAUGAUUUAUAUUAAAAAUACAUGAGAUUUCCACUCUUAGAAUGUUGACAAGCUUAUGAAGAUCUGCCAUAGUUGCAAAUCUAUUCUCCUUUCUAUUGAGAGUAGCAUCGAUAAUCUUUCUUUCCAUAGACAACUCAAACAAAUUCAAAAGUUAAAUUAGAGGAGGGUAAUCCACAACCUCUAAAAACAAAUCUGACAAAGAUGAGCAAUCCACUUUCUUUAUGGAAAAGAUCCGUGUUAGAAAAUAAGAUUUUUUAUUUAAAGGUGGGUAGUCUGCAACCUUCAAAAUACAACAAUA